GUGCUCGCUUCGGCAGCACAUAUACUAAAAUUGGAACGAUACAGAGAAGAUUAGCAUGGCCCCUGCGCAAGGAUAACACGCAAAAAAAAAGAGGGGGGUAGAAAAGUGU
rnacentral:snRNA from 1 species